CAGUUACUCCCUUCGUUCGGAAUUACUUGUCGUGAAAAUGGAUGUAUCUAAACGUAUUUUAGUUCUAGAUAUAUUUAUUUCCGAGACAAGUAAUUCCGAACCGAGGAAGUACAUG
rnacentral:pre_miRNA from 1 species